GUUUUAUUCAAAAUAUUUCCAUUCACGAGGAGUUCAAAAUUAAGCAUAGAAAAAUAUAUGGCAAAUCUACAAAGUUUUAUAGAAACCUCAGAAGAAUUAAUAAAGCUUGAAUUAUGAUUUUACUGGCACUGCAACUGAUGUUUCACCUUCCAGAAGUUCUCGAAAGACACUACUUUCAGCAGACAGUACUAAAGCAUGUGCUGGAAACUGCCAUCUGGAUGCAUCUGUCUGGACAACUACAUAAAGGUCUUUUAAUUCUUCAUUCAAAUAUAAUAGCUCUCCUGCACUGCAGAAUGAAGGUGGUCUAAGUAGAUGACUCAUAUUCCUGUAUGCAGAAAUAAACUGAAAUAAAAUAUCGCUAUUAAAACUAAAAA